AUCAUCCCGAACGUGUUCUCUGACAGUUUGGGAUGAAGCAAGGCAUACCAGAAGAUGUUGAUACUUCAAUUGAACUGCACAAGAUCACCCUCCAGGGCAAGCACGAAAAAGAUUGGGCCCAAAUACAUGCCCCGCAUAUUGCUAAAUGGGCUGCGCACGCCAAAAUUGCCGAUGCACCGGCCUUUCACGGGGAGAUGAACUACAAUGACGAGUAUUUGGUUUGGUUUCGUCCCCGCACUAUUCGCCAUAUUACAAAAGAGACUUCGUACUGGGACACUUUGGUUGAAUCACAGUUGCACAUUAUAACGAAGUGCGAACCAGGGUCUGAGAUCUACACCGACUGUAUUAAUGCCUUGCAAGCUGUUGAAGAGAUCGAUCGGUUAUCCUUGGACCAUGCACGUGACGUGGGCAACACAAGUGAACCAGCUGUACGACGUGGUCGGCAAGCAAGUGGACGUCAAGGGCGUGGAGGAUGUCAAUCUAGCCAGCGUCAUACAUCUAGUUGGCCUCCCACAUCUGGUCAGCGUCACACACCCGUGCCCACAUCUAGUCGAAGUCCCACAUCUGCUUAGCGUCCUGCAUCUGGUUCGCGUCACACACCCGUGCCCACAUCUAGUCGGCGUCACACACCCGUGCCCACAUCUACUCGGCGCCACACACCCGUGCAUGACCACACCAUGGAGGAAGCAAGUCAGACAACAGAUGAGAUGUGGGACGACACUGCUUAUGACGUAGGCUCCAUGGCACACGAUGAUGCGGGUCCAUCCCAUACGUUUGCCCAUAGAGACACAUUUGGGUCCCCAUCCAUGAGGAGCGAUGGUACUUGCCCACCCACACCCCCUAGUACAUCUCUGUUGCCCACCACCCGUACGUCUCCCCCACUGACUACCGGCCCUGCCCCCGCAGUUUUAGAUGAUAGAGAUGAGAUGAGGUUCAUGCCCACUCCUGGGCGACCCACCCCUGUUGCUGUCCCCCCUGAGUUUGUGCAUACCGAGUUUAUCCAGACACAGAUACCCACCCCCCCAGCAGAGCCUUCGCACAUCGAGGAUCGGCCACGAAGGCCGCAACGCACAUGGACACAUCCUCCUAACUGUGGGACUGGACAUGGCAAGGUGAGACCAGUGAAGGAACCGGUGAGGAGAAGAAAACGAGAAUGAUUCAAGGGCAGAAUUUGUGCUACUUUGGGUUUGUAAUGGUAUAGGAUCUUUUUGUCAUGUAUAGGAUCUUCUUGUAUA